rnacentral:rRNA from 1 species
AACGAGCGCUGGCGGCAUGCCUAACACAUGCAAGUCGAACGAGACCUUCGGGUCUAGUGGCGCACGGGUGCGUAACGCGUGGGAACCUGCCCUUAGGUUCGGAAUAACUCCCCGAAAGGGGUGCUAAUACCGGAUAAUGUCUUCGGGCCAAAGAUUUAUCGCCUUUGGAUGGGCCCGCGUUGGAUUAGCUAGUUGGUAGGGUAAAAGCCUACCAAGGCGACGAUCCAUAGCUGGUCUGAGAGGAUGAUCAGCCACACUGGGACUGAGACACGGCCCAGACUCCUACGGGAGGCAGCAGUGGGGAAUAUUGGACAAUGGGCGAAAGCCUGAUCCAGCAAUGCCGCGUGAGUGAUGAAGGCCUUAGGGUUGUAAAGCUCUUUUACCCGGGAUGAUAAUGACAGUACCGGGAGAAUAAGCUCCGGCUAACUCCGUG